CCCUAUCAAUACCUCUUCCCCAUCCUUCCCCAUACUUCUUCAACUCACGUUGAUACAACCUAGGAGCUACAUGUAUCACCUGGCUAGGUAGAGUUACGAUUACUGCUCAAAGAAAAGUAGAGUUAUGAUUCCUAUACUACUUGGACAAGCAAUCAUUGGUGAACUCUAACAAUCUGUGAGAUCUGUGGGCAACCAAAAGAGAGAACUAGCAAGGCUGGUGAGUUCUCUUUCACUAUUUUAUCUAGAUUCAUCGUGCUAAUUUAAGUAGUUCUAAGCUAUCAUGUAAAUGUAACAUAACUAUUUUAAAGGUUAUCGAUAUAAUCCAUGUUUUGCUUUUCCAUUUUUAGCAAAUAGAGCGGAUUCUGAAAUCACAUAUUUGAAUUAGCUUUUGGUCGGUCGACUUGAGUAGUAAUUCCUUUUAUUAUCCCAGUUGUUAUUUCUACCUUGCUCUGCUGUAUAAGAUAACUCCAUAUAGGAGGUCAAGCUUGAAAAAUGUAUAAUACCCGACUUGUCGAGAAUCAUGUUAAUAAAGCUGUCAUGAUAUUUUCCCUGCUUCAAAGUGCUCCCUGAGGUAUUAGUUAACGGUAGUCUGUAUUGAUUUUUUUGUACAGAAUUUGACCAUUUGUGCAGGCUUUGGUUCGUGAUGGAUCGACCUUAAAGUCUUAAUGAUUACCCUUUCCAACAAGCAACAGUGGGGUUGUUCUGCUCAAUCCUGCUAUUUUUUUAGUCCAAUAAUUUGUAUGUGUUCUUCGCCUCAGAGAUUUUAUUAAUUUCGGUUGGGUUCUAAUUAGAGAUGCAUAUAAAUAACUUUGUUCUGGUUUUCAUAAAAGUAAUAUGGCACACACCUAGAAGGUUAUUGAUUAUACGCUGCAACCCAUUUUAUUAAGUUGGGUUUUCUUGACACCAUUUUCUAUUGCAGGCUACUGAAUAUAUAUAGUUCUUGCAAGAGAACUAACAUAAGUGUAUUUCGGUGAGGCACCAGAUACAACAUCUCACUUUCCGUUUUGGAAAUUAUCUUU
rnacentral:lncRNA from 1 species